rnacentral:rRNA from 1 species
CAACAGGGAUUGCCCCAGUAACGGCGAGUGAAGCGGCAACAGCUCAAAUUUGAAAUCUGGCCCCCGGGUCCGAGUUGUAAUUUGUAGAGGAUGCUUUUGGCGAGGUGCCUUCCGAGUUCCCUGGAACGGGACGCCAUAGAGGGUGAGAGCCCCGUCUGGUCGGACACCGAGCCUCUGUAAAGCUCCUUCGACGAGUCGAGUAGUUUGGGAAUGCUGCUCAAAAUGGGAGGUAUAUGUCUUCUAAAGCUAAAUAUUGGCCAGAGACCGAUAGCGCACAAGUAGAGUGAUCGAAAGAUGAAAAGCACUUUGAAAAGAGGGUUAAAAAGUACGUGAAAUUGUUGAAAGGGAAGCGCCUAUGACCAGACUUGGGCCCGGUGAAUCAUCCAGCGUUCUCGCUGGUGCACUUUGCCGGGCACAGGCCAGCAUCAGUUUGGCGCGGGGGAUAAAGGCUNUGGGAAUGUGGCUCCCCCGGGAGUGUUAUAGCCCAUUGCGCAAUACCNUGCGCUGGACUGAGGUACGCGCAUUGCAA